rnacentral:rRNA from 1 species
AGAGUUUGAUCCUGGCUCAGGAUUAACGCUGGCGGUAGGCAUAACACAUGCAAGUCGCGCGGUAACAGUUCGGCUGUCGAGCGGCGAACGGCUGAGUAACACGUUGGUACCUGCCUUGAAGUGAGGGAUAACUGCGAGAAAUCGUAGCUAAUACCGCAUGUGCCCGCAAGGGUAAAGCUUCGGCGCUUCAAGAGGGGCCUGCGACGCAUCAGUUUGUUGGUGAGGUAACGGCUCACCAAGACUAUGACGCGUACCUGGUGUGAGAGCACGACCAGGCAGAAUGGGACUGAGACACGGCCCAUACUCCUACGGGAGGCAGCAGUGAGGAAUCUUCCACAAUGGGCGAAAGCCUGAUGGAGCCAUACCGCGUGCAGGAUGACACCUUUCGGGGCGUAAACUGCUUUUCUGGGGGAAGAAGUUCUGACGGUACCCCAGGAAUAAGCAUCGGCUAAUUACGUGCCAGCAGCCGCGGUAAUACGUAAGAUGCAAGCGUUAUCCGAAAUCACUGGGCGUAAAGCGAUCGAAGGCUGAAGUAAAAGUUGGGUGUUAAAUACCUCGGCUCAACCAAGGUGCUGUACCCAAAGCUAUACUACUAGAGGAAGGCAGAGGCAGGUGGAAUUUCCAUUGUAGGGGUUAAAUCCGUAGAUAAUGGAAGGAACACAAAAGCGAAGGCAGCCUGCUGGGCCUUUCCUGACGCUGCGCGAUCGAAAGCGUGGGGAGCGAAAAGGAUUAGAUACCCUUGUAGUCCACGCCGUAAACGAUGGAUACUCGAUAUUGGACAGUCCAAUCCUGUUCAGUGUCCAGGCUAACGCGUUAUGUAUCCCGCCUGGGGAGUACGGUCGCAAGAUUAAAACUCAAAGGAAUAGACGGGGAUCCACACAAGCGGUGGAGCGUCUGGUUUAAUUCGACAAUAAGCGAGGAACCUUACCAGGACUUGACAUCCUUGGAAUCUCGACGAAAGUUGAGAGUGUCUUCUAGAAACCAAGUGACAGGUGUUGCAUGGUCGUCGUCAGCUCGUGCCUUGAGGUGUUCGGUUAAGUCCGUUAACGAGCGCAACCCACGCCGUAUGUUGUAUGUUUCAUGCGGGACUGCCGGUUUUACAUCGGAGGAAGGUGUGGAUGACGUCAGAUCAGCAUGGCCCUUAUGUCCUGGGCGACACAGGCGCUACAAUGGCUGGUACAAAGGGCUGCGAAGCAGUAAUGUGAAGCCAAUCCCAAAAAACCAGUCUCAGUUCGGAUUGAGGUCUGCAACUCGACCUCAUGAAGUUGGAAUCGCUAGUAACCGUGAAUCAGCCAUGUCACGGUGAAUAUGUUCCUGGAUCUCGUACUCACCGCCCGUCAAGUCAUGAAAGGCAGGGGCGCCCGAAGUAGCGUUACCCCCUCGGGGGGCGUUCCUAAGGUGAAACUGCUGAUUGGGACUAAGUCGUAACAAGGUA